ensembl:lncRNA
GUAGAGGUUGGACCUUCCCACCAAUACUCUAUUACACUUUGCUGCCAUGUAACUUCAGAUGCGGUGUUGGCAUCUGACAUGGAAGUGUGUACAAAGCAAAGAUGUGUCAUUAAAUUCCUCCAUGUGAAAAAAAAUAGCACUCAGUGACAUUUAUCGACAUCUGCUGAACAUUUAAGGAGACCUAACAGUGGAUGUGAACACAGUGAGAGGUGACUGGUGUGUUUCAUCAGCGGUGACACUGACAGUGGGUCACUUCCACUGGUGCAAAUUUUUGUGAGUGCAGUCUGCAGGCUCUUGUUCAUUGCUGGUGAAAAAGCAUAGCUAAUCGUGGUGAGUGUUAAAAAACAGUUUUUUGUAGCUGAGAGUUUGCUCUAUCAAGGAGUGUUACUGUGUUCUUUUUAUCUGUUGUAGUUUCCAUGGAAAUAAAUUGGAGACAUUACCUUUGGAGCAACCUUCAUAUAAAGGCAUGCAGCCCUCAGCAGGCCUAGACUUCUAUGUCAAGAACAUUCUUUGUUGGUUUCAUCUGAUGUUUGAGAAGAAUGCAGUUACCUUGCUCUCAGACUGUCUGCACGGAUGCUGCCAAGAGAAAAGGCCAUUUUACAAAACAUGUCAAUUGACUUUACAGGGAAGAACAUCUGUGACACUUCAUAAUUUAACAAAUGUUUUCUUACAAAAAAAAAAAAAAGAAAAAGAAAAAAAGAAUGGGGAAGAGAAAGGUUUUUUAUUUAUAUGGUCUUUUAC